UACGUAGGGUGCGAGCGUUGUCCGGAAUUACUGGGCGUAAAGAGCUCGUAGGUGGUUUGUCGCGUUGUUCGUGAAAACCGGGGGCUUAACCCUCGGCGUGCGGGCGAUACGGGCAGACUGGAGUACUGCAGGGGGAGACUGGAAUUCCUGGUGUAGCGGUGGAAUGCGCAGAUAUCAGGAGGAACACCGGUGGCGAAGGCGGGUCUCUGGGCAGUAACUACGUGAGGAGCGAAAAGCGUGGGGAGCAAACAGG
rnacentral:rRNA from 1 species